UUCUUCUCCGGUAUAGUUCCCAUGGGUCUCUAAAGAUGGAAGGCCCCAUGACAGUGGGACGUAGAUGUCUUCUUGACUUGAAGAUGUGGUAGUCAUGAGCCAUUGUAAAGUCGUCAGGGGCAUCCUAUGUGUUUAGGAAGAACAAUCAUCAAAAUAAGAAUAACUUUAUAUGCAAAAAAAUCCUUCUGCAUUCUGAGAGCACAUUUCAGCCCUCCACUGCCAGCUGUAACGACCACAGAGCCUUCCUGUACCGACAGAAUGUGAACACCUCUUUCCUGAAGGAGUCAUGUGCAACAGAGGAGGAAGUAAAAGUCACAUCGUUAGAAUGAAGAAGCAAAUCAUUCACACACUGUCACCGGACAAAAGAAACCACAGCAGGAAGCCGUCAUGUGCCACUCUCCUUACUUCUGUAAUAUCUGACAGUACUGGGAAUCCGUCCUCUCCAAAACGCCCCUCAAACUAGAGUAAGAGGUAUAUAGUAUCAAUGACGCCAAGUCCAACUAUCUUCAUGGAAUGAUGAGUGUCGGCUGUGCAUGUUUGCAAUACGCAACACCCAUAGAAAUGGGAAAAAAAAAAAAAAAAGUCAUGCACAUGAGUGGUCACCUUUCUAUUCGUUCCCUGCUUGGAAGAAGCCACCACUGACUAUUUUAACAGGUGGAAUGAAAGUCGUGGACCACUGUUCUGGAGAUAGACCCGCUAAGUUUCAACCCGUGACCCUCGACAAAAUGGAGGCCAUAAUGAAGGCUCUUGUGGAGGCUAACCAGCAGCAGCAAGAAACCAACCUGCAACAACGGGAGGCUAACAGGCAGCAGCAAGAAACAAACCA